rnacentral:rRNA from 1 species
CCAGACUCCUACGGGAGGCAGCAGUGGGGGAUAUUGGACAAUGGGGGGAACCCUGAUCCAGCGACGCCGCGUGAGUGAGGAAGUAUUUCGGUAUGUAAAGCUCUAUCAGCAGGGAAGAAAAUGACGGUACCUGACUAAGAAGCCCCGGCUAACUACGUGCCAGCAGCCGCGGUAAUACGUAGGGGGCAAGCGUUAUCCGGAUUUACUGGGUGUAAAGGGAGCGUAGACGGAAUAGCAAGUCUGAUGUGAAAACCCGGGGCUCAACUCCGGGAGUGCAUUGGAAACUGUUGAUCUAGAGUGUCGGAGAGGCAAGCGGAAUUCCUAGUGUAGCGGUGAAAUGCGUAGAUAUUAGGAGGAACACCAGUGGCGAAGGCGGCUUGCUGGACGAUGACUGACGUUGAGGCUCGAAAGCGUGGGGAGCAAACAGGAUUAGAUACCCCGGUA